GUAUACCUGGUUUUAUAGUUAUCAUAAUUGCUGCUUGUGGUAAAUAUGGAGAAUAUGUCAUAGAUCUAAAUGAUGGUGGAGUUGUUCAAAUGUGCUGGCUGACAGACUUUGUUCUGACCACAGUGUCCUAUUCAUACUUCGUACUGACAUGUGUGGUGAACGUUCUGUGCUUUGGCUCUGUGACGGUGAAAGUGGUGAGAGCCCACCGCCAGACUCCGGUCCAGAGUGGGAGGAGUAUGAGGGGGGCAGUGCUCAGUCUGCUGGGUUUGGCCUGGCUCCUGGGGAUCUCCUGGGGUGUCCUCUUCUUCCAGUUUGGCCCCUUGACAGAGACAGCCUUCUACAUUUUCUGCACCGUCAACUCUCUCCACGGCCUCUUUCUAUUUCUACGUUACUGGGCCUUAACUCAACCAGACAAAACACCUUUCUCCAUGGAAACCACUGCAGCUUCUUCUUCAAGGAUACAUCCAGCAACAGCCCUCAAACACUGUUAG
rnacentral:lncRNA from 1 species